rnacentral:rRNA from 1 species
AUUGAACGCUAGCGGGAUGCCUUACACAUGCAAGUCGAACGGAGUGGCGAACGGGUGGGUAAUGUAUCGGAACGUGCCCAGUAGCGGGGGAUAACUACGCGAAAGCGUAGCUAAUACCGCAUACUCUUGGAGCGGCCGAUAUCGGAUUAGGUAGUUGGUGGGGUAAGGGCUCACUCAGGCGACGAUCCCUAGCUGGUGUGAGAGGACGACCAGCCACACUGGGACUGAGACACGGCCCAGACUCCUACGGGAGGCAGCAGUGGGGAAUUUUGGACAAUGGGGGAAAGCCUGAUCCAGCCAUCCCGCGUGUGCGAUGAAGGCCUUCGGGUUGUAAAGCACUUUUGGCAGGAAGGCGGUACCUGCAGAAUAAGCACCGGCUAACUACGUGCCAGCAGCCGCGGUAAUUC